AACGAUUCCACCGCCAGUUGAAAGCAG
rnacentral:sRNA from 1 species